GUUGUCUUAUUGUGCUGGGCACAAAAUUGUCUUGAAAAUAAUUUGUUAAUGUUCGAUUCAUUAGUAGGACU
rnacentral:tRNA from 1 species